GUGUACCAGUUGUCGUGCCAACGGCAUAGCUGGGUAGCUAUGUGUGGACGGGAUAAGUGCUGAAAGCAUCUAAGCAUGAAGCCCCCCUCAAGAUGAGAUUUCCCAACUUCGGCUAUAAGAUCCCUCAAAGAUGAUGAGGUUAAUAGGUUCGAGGGGGAAGCAUGGUGACAUGUGGAGCUGACGAAUACUAAUCGAUCGAAGACUUAAUCAAAA
rnacentral:rRNA from 1 species